UCCAGUCCUUAUCUUCAGGUGAAGUCCUUCUUACUUCUACCUUUGUAUUUCCUCUCAUUGUUUUCCCCCAUUCCUUACCUGCAGAACUCUGGUCCCAGUCCUGCCCCCCCACCCCGGUGUCUUUAACAUUCUGGCACUCGAAGACAAGGACCUAGGUGACCGACAACUCACAGCUCAUCAUGAAAGCAUCACAGACCUCAUCUUUCUUGACCUUAUCUACUACAUUUGGUGCUAUUGAUCACUCUCUUCUCCUGCAUCUUGGAAGGAGUUUCAGAGGUCAUUGACUCUAACUCACUCAUUAUACAGAUGAUGAAACUGAGGCCCAGAGAUGAAGUGACUUGUUUAAGUUCCUGCCGGUGGUAAGUGACUAAGACAUAAUUUAUAUUCAUGUCUUCCUAAAUCCAUGUCCAGCAUUCUAACUGC
rnacentral:lncRNA from 1 species